GGGGGUGUCCAAAUUCUCGGAAAUUGACUUUUUUGACAACGUUUAUGUUCGAGCUGGCAAUGAGUUGGUGGAGUCCCUUCAUGUAAGUAUUACUAUAUUUUUAUUAUUAUCUUAUGCAUUCAAGUUUCAUAAUUACUAUAUGAAUGUUGUAAUUAAUAUUUUAUAUUAUGUCAAGCAGGUGACGAUGCUGGAGAGGAGCCAGUUGGUUCUUCAUGAGUCCGCCUCUCAGCUUCCUCCUGACACUUCACUCGAGUCCUUGGAUCCUCCACACGAUGCGGGGUUUCAGAUCCUGACCGAGACCUUGGAUCAAACUCUCGGGAGGAGGCCAGUGACAUAUUGUCGCGGGAUGGGGAAUGCCAGGCGGCGGGAACCUAUAGGCCAUUUAUCGUCACAAUCAAACCAAGUGACUGCUUUGACCGCAGAGGUGGCAGAGCUGAAGACCCAACUCGCCUCGUAUAGUACCCAGAUGGCACAUAUAUCACAGCUUCUAGCAUCCAUCAUUUGAUCCGACGUUCUAGCUCCGAAUGUUGGUCCCUCGUCCACCUCCGACUCUAUCCAGCCCGAGCAUGGCCACCAGAGCUCUGCUCCUAUCGACCAUGUCCAGACUUCGGAGCCACAUUUGCAAAACGACGAUAUAGAUUUUGGAGCAUUAUUUUGAUUAUUGUUUACUUUUUUCAUUAUAUUUGAAACAUUUUUCUUGUAUUCUCUAUAUUUAUAUAUUUUUCCCC
rnacentral:lncRNA from 1 species